rnacentral:rRNA from 1 species
AACGUAGGAGACAAACGUUAUCCGGAGUUACUGGGCGUAAAGGGCGUGUAGGUGGUUUCGUAAGUCUGGCGUGAAAUUUUUCGGCUUAACCGGGAAAGGUCGUCGGAUACUGCGGGACUGGAGGACGGUAGAGGCGUGUGGAAUUCCGGGUGUAGUGGUGAAAUGCGUAGAGAUCCGGAGGAACACCAGUGGCGAAGGCGACAGCGCUGGGCCGUACCUGACACUGAUGCGCGACAGCAUGGGGAGCAAACAGG